UACGUAGGGUGCAAGCGUUAAUCGGAAUUACUGGGCGUAAAGCGUGCGCAGGCGGUUUCGCAAGUCAGAUGUGAAAGCCCCGGGCUUAACCUGGGAACUGCGUUUGAAACUACGAAGCUAGAGUACGGCAGAGGGAGGUGGAAUUCCAAGUGUAGCAGUGAAAUGCGUAGAUAUUUGGAGGAACACCGAUGGCGAAGGCAGCCUCCUGGGCUAGUACUGACGCUCAUGCACGAAAGCGUGGGGAGCAAACAGG
rnacentral:rRNA from 1 species